UAGAAUCACACUGACCGGCAAGAGCGCUCGGAGGAAGCAGCGAGUCAGGCAAGCAUGCAUUCCAUCUAGCCUUUCUAGCUGUCCUAUUCCUUGUUUGUCUCACUGUUCAUGCCAUGCUCUAUAGCUAGUAGUACUUCUGAAGCUCUAUAAUGUGCACUGUUCAUUUGAUUCCUGUACAUCUCUUGAAGCUAGCAUGCAUACCACAAUACUACCUUUUGGUUUAUGAUCACGAUGGAGAAAUCCUUAGUACAUGCAUGUGAGCAAAUGGAUUAAUGGCUCAUGCAUGGAUGGUUGGUUCUGUGAAAAGCCUAGUGAUAUUUAUUUUGGUCUUGCAUGUACUUCCUCUUGCUAAUCCUUGUCUAGUAAAUUUUAUAAAAUCUAGUAUCACGACGGCAAACGUAUUGUACCGGUCACAGUUCAGGUAUGGGACUGUCUGAGUUCUCCGCUAAGAACGCCACUCGUUCGGAAGCGUGUCGAUGAUGGAUCCAUAGGAGCGAUCGACACUAGUAAGUCGAGUGGGCGGUUCUUGGGGGAAUAGAGAGCUCUGCUCUACUAGCGCCUGUGUGGUUCUAGUCGAGGCUGCUGACGUCGGAGUACCCCUCUUAAGAGCGUAAAAGUGUGAAAUUUCACCCCUGUGACUCCCGGGUUGGGAAGCUUGCGGUCAUGUGUGAUGUCAGUUAUUUCUUUCCUUUUCUUUAAAUUAAUCUCCAUUAUCUUCCUCUGCCAACAAACUCUUUCUUUACAACUAACCCCUGUGUUCUGUCACUAUUUGCUGAGAGAAGUUCCUGUGUACCCGUGUGCUUGCUGAGUAUGAGAUCAUACUCAUUCUUGCUAUUGUUGUUGAUUUUGUAGAAGUAGCAAAUGAUGGAUGUGCUGAUGAGAAUGAGGAACAGUUGGAGUAGCUCUACGGGUUGGGAAUAAAUAAAGAAGUUGCAUGUAUCAUAACCUUUGUAAUAGCUAGUAAUGAAUAAAGUUGGCUCUUGUGCAUACUGGAAAAUAAUAUGUUUACUAGCCUAACAUGCUUAUAAAUUGGAGAUUUAUAAGCAUGUGGCGAUUGUCACUGCUAAGACUCACUUGGGGCGUGACAAUUUUAUUGGUAUCAGAGCUCUUGUACCCGCUAAGACACGAACACCUGGACCUACUGAACAUGGCUCUGAUACCACUUUAACUGUCACGCCCCGAGACCGGGCCUAGGCGAGACAGCCGCCACGAGCCUAUAGACCAGAGGCCUAUAGUCACACAAGGCAUGAUAAAGCAGGCAUAAACCAGAAGUGGAUCACAAAAGCUAAUAUAUUUACUAUAAAAAUUCCUUAACAUCUACAAAUAGUUGAGUAAAGACAUCAUAUUCUCUAGUCGCUUCCCACCCGCUGGUCAAGCCUAGUCUUGGAUGAAGACAUCUUCUGAACAUACUUAAGUUGAACAUACUUAAGUUACCUCGUUCGCAUCUAAAAAAACAGAGGAAGCAAGGGUGAGUACGACAAAUCAUACUCAGCAAGCAGAUACUUCACUAUUCAACAAGGAGCAAUGGUAUGAUGGUGUAGAUCAACAUACGAAAUGAACAAGGAAAUUAUUGGCAUCACACAUGACUGCAAGCUUCCCAACCUGGGAGUCACAGGGGUGAAAUUUCACACUUUUACGCUCUUAAGAGGGGUACUCCGACGUCAGCAGCCUCGACUAGAACCACACACUUUAACUGUCACGCCCCGAGACCGGGCCUAGGCGAGACAGCCGCCGCGCGCCUAUAGACCAGAGGCCUAUAGUCACGCAAGGCAUGAUAAAGCAGGCAUAAACCAGCAGUGGAUCACAAAAUCUCAUAUAUUUGGUUUACAAAUUUCUUUACAUUUACAAAUAGGCAAACUACAUUAAAUUCUCUAGUCGCUUCCUACCCACUGGUCCAGCCUAAUCUUCGAUGACAUCUUCUGGGCAUACUUAAGUUACAUUGGCUGCAUCUAAAAAGACGAAGGAGACAAGGGUGAGUACGAUAAAUCAUACUCAACAAGCAUAUACUUCAUUAUUCAACAAAAGCAAUGGUAAAAUGAUGUAGAUCAACAAACGAACUGAAUCCAAAGGAUAAACAAGGUAACAAUCACUGGAACAUAUUUUGCUGGAGAUGUGUAAAAUAAAUAGUAUAAUCAAAGACGAACAAGGGAGGUAUUGGCGUCACACGUGACCGCAAGCUUCCCAACCCGGGAGUCACAGGGGUGAAAUUUCACACUUUUACGCUCUUAAGAGGGGUACUCCGACGUCGACAGUCUCGACUAGAACCACACAGGUUCCAGAAGAGCAGAGCUCUCUAUUCCCCCAAGAACCACCCACUCGACUUACUAGUGUCGAUCGCUCCUACGGAUCCAUCAUCGACACGCUUCCGAACGAGUGGCGUUCUUAGCGGAGAACUCAGACAAUCCCAUACCUGAACUGUGACCGGUACAAUACGUUUGCCGUCGUGAUACCAGAUUUUAUAAAAUUUACUAGACAAGGAUUAGCAAGAGGAAGUACAUGCAAGACAAAAAUAAAUAUCACUAGGCUUUUCACAGAACCAACCAUCCAUGCAUGAGCCAUUAAUCCAUGUGCUCACAUGCAUGUACCAAGGAUUUCUCCACCGUGAUCAUAAACCAAAAGGUAGUACUGUGGUAUGCAUGCUAGCUUCAAGAGAUGUACAGGAAUCAAAUGAACAGUGCACAUUAUAGAGCUUCAGAAGUACUACUAGCUAUAGAGCAUGGCAUGAACAGUGAGACAAACAAGGAAUAGGACAGCUAGAAAGGCUAGAUGGAACGCAUGCUUGCCUGACUCGCUACUUCCUCCGAGCGCUCUUGCAGUCAUGUGUGAUGCCAGUUAUUUCUUUCCUUUUCUUUAAAUUAAUCUCCAUUACCUUCCUCUGCCAACAAACUCUUUCUUUACAACUAACCCCUUGUGUUCUGUCACUAUUUGCUGAGAGAAGUUCCUGUGUACCCGUGUGCUUGCUGAGUAUGAGAUCAUACUCAUUUUUGCUAUUGUCGUUGAUUUUGCAGAAGUAGCAAAUGAUGGAUGUGCUGAUGAGAAUGAUGAACAGUAGGAGUAGCUCUACGGGUUGGGAAUAAAUAAAGAAGUUGCAUGUAUCAUAACCUUUGUAAUAGCUAGUAAUGAAUAAAGUUGGCUCUUGUGCAUACUGGAAAAUAAUUUGUUUACUAGCCUAACAUGCUUAUAAAUUUGAGAUUUAUA
rnacentral:lncRNA from 1 species